GACGAACGCUGGCGGCGUGCUUAACACAUGCAAGUCGAACGGAAAGGCCCUGCUUUUGUUGGGUGCUCGAGUGGCGAACGGGUGAGUAACACGUGAGUAACCUGCCCUUGACUUUGGGAUAACUUCAGGAAACUGGGGCUAAUACCGGAUAGGAGCUCCUGCUGCACGGUGGGGGUUGGAAAGUUUCGGCGGUUGGGGAUGGACUCGCGGCUUAUCAGCUUGUUGGUGGGGUAGUGGCUUACCAAGGCUUUGACGGGUAGCCGGCCUGAGAGGGUGACCGGCCACAUUGGGACUGAGAUACGGCCCAGACUCCUACGGGAGGCAGCAGUGGGGAAUAUUGCACAAUGGGCGGGAGCCUGAGGCAGCAACGCCGCGUGCGGGAUGACGGCCUUCGGGUUGUAAACCGCUUUCGCCGGUGACGAAGCGUGAGUGACGGUAAUGGGUAAAGAAGCACCGGCUAACUACGUG
rnacentral:rRNA from 1 species